rnacentral:rRNA from 1 species
AACGAACGCUGGCGGCAUGCUUUACACAUGCAAGUCGAACGGCAGCGGGGGUGCUUGCACCUGCCGGCGAGUGGCGAACGGGUGAGUAAUGCAUCGGAACGUGCCCAGUAAUGGGGGAUAACACAUCGAAAGAUGUGCUAAUACCGCAUACGCCCUGAGGGGGAAAGCGGGGGAUCGUAAGACCUCGCGUUAUUGGAGCGGCCGAUGUCGGAUUAGCUAGUUGGUGGGGUAAAGGCCUACCAAGGCGACGAUCCGUAGCUGGUCUGAGAGGACGACCAGCCACACUGGGAAUGAGACACGGCCCAGACUCCUACGGGAGGCAGCAGUGGGGAAUUUUGGACAAUGGGGGAAACCCUGAUCCAGCCAUGCCGCGUGAGUGAAGAAGGCCUUCGGGUUGUAAAGCUCUUUCGCAAGGAAAGAAAUCCUAUCCGCUAAUACCGGGUGGGGAUGACGGUACCUUGAUAAGAAGCACCGGCUAACUACGUGCCAGCCGCCGCCGUAA